CCUACGGGAGGCAGCAGUAGGGGAUAUUGCUCAAUGGGGGAAACCCUGAAGCAGCAACGCCGCGUGGGGGAUGAAGGGUUUCGGAGUGUAAACUCCUUUUGUUAGAGAAGAUAAUGACGGUAUCUAACGAAUAAGCCCCGGCUAACUCCGUGCCAGCAGCCGCGGUAAUACGUAGGGUGCAAGCGUUACUCGGAAUCACUGGGCGUAAAGAGCGCGUAGGCGGGAUAGCAAGUCAGAUGUGAAAGCCUAGGGCUUAACCAUAGGACUGCAUUUGAAACUGUUAUUCUAGAGUAUGGGAGGGGCAGGUGGAAUUCUUGGUGUAGGGGUAAAAUGCGUAGAGAUCAAGAGGAACACGCAUUGCGAAGGCGACCUGCUAGAAUAUAACUGACGCUGAUGCGCGAAGGCGUGGGGAGCAAACAGGAUUAGAUACCCCUGUAGUC
rnacentral:rRNA from 1 species